rnacentral:tRNA from 1 species
GUGGUUGUGGCUCAGUGGUAGAGCACUUGCCUAGCAUGUGUGAGGCCCUGAGUUUGAUCCUCAGCACCACA